GACAGAGGAUGCAAGCGUUAUCCGGAAUGAUUGGGCGUAAAGCGUGCGUAGGUGGCGCGUUAAGUGUGAUGUUAAAUCGCGGGGCUCAACCCUGUCGGUGCAUCGCAUACUGGCGUGCUAGAGGGAAGCAGAGGCAAGUGGAAUUGGUAGUGUAGCAGUGAAAUGCGUAGAUAUUACCAGGAACACCAAUGGCGAAGGCGCUUGCUGGGCUUCUUCUGACACUGAGGUACGAAAAGCGUGGGGGAGCGAACAGG
rnacentral:rRNA from 1 species